UCUACUAUGCCAAAGAGUGUUCAUUUUAUUCAAAUAUGGAGUAUUUACAAAUGGAGUAGAAGAAACAGAACACUUAACAUCAUUCUUAUCACAAGCAGGGAAAAUAGAGAUAUUAGAACAAGUAAAAAAGAGGGUUGGAUGGUAGUAGGAGUUGUCGAGGGAGGCAGGUGCAAGGUGUAAAGACCAUGUUGUGUUUUACCAAAUACCGGAGGCCUCCUCAUGGAAAAGUCUUGUAUAAAACAGGCAAAGGAACUGAAGAUAAGCAAACACUUCAAUUGGGAGACCAUCUUGUGUAAAGAUAUCAAGUUGUACUGACAACUAGGAACCAAGAGCACAUGUGACAGAAUAGUACCAUUGGUUAAAGGUAAAUCUCCAACACAUGUUACUUUGACUUUAUAACCAUUAGGUAGGAUGACCAAGUAAGGAAUGGGUAAUGGUUUAAUAUUUUAAAGAAGAUUACUAUGUGAGGUCAUGUGAUCAGUGGCCCCAGAGUCUAAAAUCCAAGAGUGUUUAUCAACUUUACAAAGCAAGAAAGUACUAAAUGAACACUCAGGCUUAUUGCUAGAAAAGAAACUAAGGAUACCUACAAAGUUCACAGAAUCAGCAGGAUUAGAGACUGAGGUAGAAGACUGAUCAGACACAUAAUAUUGUUGUAACAAAGAAAGCAGUUGGCUGCAUUGCUCAAGUGUCAACCCCGGAAUAGCUAGAACGUGGAAAUUGGUGUCUUAGUGAAAGGCCUAGUCCCAAGCUGAGCAAAUUGCUUAGAAACAUCUAGCUCAGUAUGGACAAUGGCAGCAACCCUUUUAUUACUGUUGGUGAACUUGAAGUUUGGGGGAAAUCCAUGUUUCUUAUUACAUUUCUCCAUUGUAUGCCAGGUUUGUUGCAGUAGCUAUAUACCACAUUAGGCCUCCUGGGAUCAAAGGUGGUCUUAGGAUGAAAAGUAGAUCUUGAGACCCCCACCGAGAAUGAAGCAAAUUCUAAGCUGAAGUAGGAAAGAGGAUGUUGAAUUUCUCGUUGUCGCUCAUUAUUCACCAGAAGAGAGUAGGCCUUGUUAAUAGUAGAGAAGGGACCCGUCGUAAGCAGAUUAGUCCUAGCAUUGGAAUAACUAUUAUUCAAACCCAUCAGAAAUUGGUAGAACCUUUGAUUCUCCUCACGUUUUUGAAUAUCCAGUCUACUACCCCCACAAGUCCAGUGAGAAUCCGUAUGAACAGUCAAUGUGCUGAGUUCGUCCCAAACACUUUUCAUCCUUACAUAAUACUCAGGAAACCUCAUUGAGCCCUGAGAGAUUGAGGCACGUUCCUUUUUUACCCGAUAAACCCUAAUUCCACUUAGCUGACCAUACCUCUCUUCCAAUUCCAUCUAGACAUCUUUGGCAAGUUGACAAUAGAGGACACUCUUACGAAUUACCGGAGAAAGAAGGUUGUGGAUCCACGAGAUCACUAUGUUAUUACACAUAUCCCACUGACGAGAGAAAGGUGAAUUUGGAGGUGGCCUCUCACAGUCACAUUGAAUGAAAUAUAACUUAUUCUUAACCGAGAGAGCAAUAAGCAUAUUCCUACACCAAUCGCGAUACUUAUUCCCAUCGAAUAUGACGCCCACUAGUGAAAGCCCCAAAUUCUUUGAUGGAUUAAUGUAAAGGGGAUAGUUAUGAUCAAUUGUGUCAUCGAGUGAAUUAUCACAACCAGAGUGCUCAGACGAAGUACAAAGAGACUUAUCAGAAACUAGAAAGCCAUAACGGAAGAGGUGAAUCCAGUAUUGUUGCAAAUUAAGGGUUUCGUUACUGUAUAAUUCUCUGAUCAUAAACAAACAAAUUUAUGGGAAAUGAAUGCAAGAAAGCAGAAUUCAAUGCAAAUCGAAAGGAAAAUGAGAGAAAUCACUGGCGAGAAACCGAAGUCCGACGAAACGGCGAACAGAAAAAUGUGAUUCAUUCGCCAACAACAAAGAACAACGAGAUGCCCAUGAAAUUGAAGAACACUGCUCAAAUCACCCGGAUACACCGAUGUGAUACCAUGUUAAACUCAUCGUAAUCCCAAUAUUCUGAAGAGAGAAAUCGAAAUCUCAAGGAGGAAGGAAGAACAAAGGUGAAAUAUUUUCGUGUAAAAUAUGAAAACUGAGCAUCCGAACCUUCCAGAGUCGGAUCUCCUCUAUUAUAUACAAAGUCAGUUUUGGAUCGGGUAUUUACUACUCAAACCCGUACAAAAGAAAAUGACUACACUACUCUGUUACAACUUUGGGAUAAGUUGUACAACUGAGUAAUAAAUACAAUUGGGCCCUAACUAGAUAUCUGCUAACAUAACAAAUGGGCCUUUAUCAGCCAACAUUCCACCCACUGCCAUAAUAAAUUACUAUAAGUAUUCAAAAAUCAACUUCUUUUUCACUUGUUCAACACCAUUAAAAUAAUCUUCCUGUUAACCGACACCAUCACUUGUUCAACACCAUUAAAAUAAUUUUCCUGUUAACCGACACCAUUCCUCAGCUUCCACAGGGUGCUAACACUAGCGAUCAUGGGCAUAAUAGGAGAUAUUGUGAGGCAUCCAAAUGAGAUAUGCCCAUUGAUGAAGCUGUUGCUAAUAGCAAAAUUAGCAGAGAAACAAAUUCUUUCAAAGCCACACUGGAGCUUUUGCUAUCUCAUGCUCCGCAACAUCUCUCGCAGCUUCUCUCUUGUCAUUCAACAGCUUCCCCUUGAGCUUCGAGACGCUGGAAUUGAACGUGUAUCAAUGGUGUCUGGUGACUUAACUCCUUUCUCUGCCAUGUAUAAUGCAAGUGGCCUACAUGUUCUCCUCAUGUCUAAUACGUAACUGUAUGUCCUUUGUCUAAAGUGAUGGGCUGCUAGCUUAUACCUAAACUAUAGUAUUUUAUUUUUAUAUACUUAAUGGGCGUUUGGACA